GGAUGUGAGGGCAGUUUGGCUGCGACAUCUGUCACUCCAUUGACCGUCAGGGUUGAUUCGGCUGAUCUGGCUGGCUAGGCAGGUGUCCCUUCCUCCCUCACCACUCCAUGUGUGCCCUUCCUGAAGCUAUUUGCUUGGUCGAAGAGGAUGACUAUUCCAGAUAAAUGAGGACCCAUCUUUGGUCAAGGGUAUUCAAGUAGCUGCAAUCCCCUUCUAGAACCUCCAAAUAUGCUUUCAAAUAUUCUCUGCCAUUUGCAGCUGUGGAAGUGCCCUUAAGAAUGUACCAUGUGUUGACAGAGUCAAACGCUGCCU
rnacentral:snRNA from 1 species